rnacentral:rRNA from 1 species
GUGGGGAAUAUUCCGCAAUGGACGAAAGUCUGACGGAGCAACGCCGCGUGAGUGAUGAAGGUUUUCGGACUGUAAAGCUCUGUUGUUUAGGACGAAAGUGCCUGUUGCAAAUAGUUACAGGUAUUGACGGUACUGAACGAGGAAGCCACGGCUAACUACGUGCCAGCAGCCGCGGUAAUACGUAGGUGGCAAGCGUUGUCCGGAAUUAUUGGGCGUAAAGAGCAUGUAGGCGGGAAUCUAAGUCUGUUGUGAAAAUGCGGGGCUCAACCCCGUAUUGCGAUGGAAACUGGGGUUCUUGAGUGCAGGAGAGGAAAGGGGAAUUCCCAGUGUAGCGGUGAAAUGCGUAGAUAUUGGGAGGAACACCAGUGGCGAAGGCGCCUUUCUGGACUGUGUCUGACGCUGAGAUGCGAAAGCCAGGGUAGCGAACGGGAUUAGAAACCCCGGUAGUCC